CUGAGUUGCUCUCUGACUGCUACCGAAGACAGACGUGUUUUUCAAGCGUUCCGUUCUGCUGCCGUGUUCAGAAGUACAGAGUACUCUACCCUUGUCGGCAUAUUUUCUUCAAAGAAUAUUAAUUACGAAUUAAAUGUAGUGCAGCAUCCAAUAGAAAAAAUUUCCGGAAAAAUCAUUCACAUAUUAGAUACUGAUGUGCACAUUUAUUUUCCAUUAAUUCACUAAUUCCACAAAGGAUGAACCAUUAUACAAACUUAUUUAUCAUGGAUUCUGGAAAUAUUGCACAACUAAAUGAGUAUGUUCCAGACACCCAGCAGUCAUCUAUCAUAGAAAAAAUGAAUAAACUGGACCAAAAAAUGGACCUUAUACUUAAUAAACUCGACGGAAUAAAUAUCCUGGACAAAAAAAUUGACCUUAUGCUUAAUAAACUCGACGGAAUAAAUAACCUGGACAAAAAAAUGGACAUCAUGAUUAAUAAACUGGACCGAAACACAGCGGAAAUGGUGGCUCUUCGUUCCGAAAUCGGCUCCAUUAAGGCGAAGGUUUGUGGUGAGAUCCGCAAACCCAAAGUAGUUCUGCCUUGCCAACCGAGGUCGCACGACAGUGCUCUUGGCGGGGCACAGAGGAGAAAAAGUGCAUUAGGGGCUUGCGGGUUACUCUAGCCAUCCGUACGGGAUUUAAGGAAAGAUUUUCGUUAGAAGACGCCGAUUUCGACCGAAUCACGCAAAAAUUUUUCCAGUACGCCCAGGACAGAGUGUCGAAGGAGAAAAAACAAAUUAAAUUUAAUUCACUAAUAUAAUUUUUUAAUCUAUUUAUGUA